rnacentral:rRNA from 1 species
CAAAGGAAGUUAGACGGGGGCCCGGCGACAAGCGGUGGAGCAUGUGGUUUAAUUUCGAAGCAACGCGAAGAACCUUACCAGGCCUUGACAUGCAGAGAACUUUACCAGAGGUGGAUUGGUGCCUUCGGGAACUCUGACACAGGUGCUGCAUGGCUGUCGUCAGCUCGUGUCGUGAGACGUUGGGUUAAGUCCGUAACGAGCGCAACCCUUGUCCUUAGUUACCAGCACGUUAUGGUGGGCACUCUAAGGAGACCGCCGGCGACAAACCGGAGGAAGGUGGGGAUGACGUCAAGUCAUCAUGGCCCUUACGGCCUGGGCUACACACGUGCUACAAUGGUCGGUACAAAGGGUUGCCAAGCCGCGAGGUGGAGCUAAUCCCAUAAAACCGAUCGUAGUCCGGAUCGCAGUCUGCAACUCGACUGCGUGAAGUCGGAAUCGCUAGUAAUCGUGAAUCAGAAUGUCACGGUGAAUACGUUCCCGGGCCUU